GAGGGGUGAUUUCGGUCAUCACUGGCGCACGGGUGAGUAACGCCUAUAUCAUCUGCCCCUAUCACUGACAUAACAGUUCUAACGGACUGCUAAUAUCAGAUGAGGUGAGCAAUCAUCAAAGUUUCGACGGAUAGGGAUGAGUCUGCGUCUGAUUAGGUAGUUGGUGAGGUAACGGCUCACCAAGCCGACGAUCAGUAGCUGGUCUGAGAGGACGAACAGUCACACUGGAACUGAGACACGGUCCAGACUCCUACGGGAGGCAGCAGUGAGGAAUAUUGCACAAUGGGAGCAAUCCUGAUGCAGCGACGCCGCGUGCGGGAUGAAGGGGCUUAGCCUCGUAAACCGCUGUCGGAGGGGACGAAUGGUACAUUUGAUGUACUGAGACGGUACCCUCAAAGGAAGGAUCGGCUAACUACGUGCCAGCAGCCGCGGUAAUACGUAGGAUCCGAGCGUUGUCCGGAAUUACUGGGUGUAAAGGGUGCGUAGGCGGACUUGUGCGUCAGAGGUGAAAUCCACGGGCUUAACCCGUGGGGUGCCUUUGAUACGGCAAGUCUUGAGUGCGAGAGAGGUGGGUGGAAUUCCUGGUGUAGCAGUGAAAUGCGUAGAUAUCAGGAGGAACACCGAUGGCGAAGGCAGCCCACCGGCUCGCAACUGACGCUGAGGCACGAAAGCGUGGGGAUCAAACAGGAUUAGAUACCCUGG
rnacentral:rRNA from 1 species